GAUGAACGCUGGCGGCGUGCCUAAUACAUGCAAGUCGAGCGAACAGACGAGGAGCUUGCUCCUCUGACGUUAGCGGCGGAAGGGAGAGUAAAACGUGGAUAACCUACCUAUAAGACUGGGAUAACUUCGGGAAACCGGAGCUAAUACCGGAUAAUAUAUUGAACCGCAUGGUUCAAUAGUGAAAGACGGUUUUGCUGUCACUUAUAGAUGGAUCCGCGCCGCAUUAGAUGGUUGGUAAGGUAACGGCUUACCAAGGCAACGAUGCGUAGCCGCCCUGAGAGGGGGACCGGCCACACUGGAGCUGAGACACGGUCGAGAGUCCUACGGGAGGCAGCAGUAGGGGAUCUUCCGCAAUGGGCGAAAGCCUGACGGAGCAACGCCGCGUGAGUGAUGAAGGUCUUCGGAUCGUAAAACUCUGUUAUUAGGGAAGAACAAAUGUGUAAGUAACUGUGCACGUCUUGACGGUACCUAAUCAGAAAGCCACGGCUAACUACGUG
rnacentral:rRNA from 1 species